GUGGCUAGCUUCAAAAUUACAGCAUUGUUUUCCAUGCUGCAACUGCUCAUGGAAGCUCCUUCAAGCAACAGAUCCUUUCUGAGUAGCCCCCUUGCUCACAGCACCAAGGCCUCUCAGCUUUGUCUUCAUGGAACCAGUGUCAUGGACUGUUGGCUUGUGGCUGUGUCUCACCUCCCUGUGGGCACCUCAGGAACUUCCCUAUGCUCUGAGAGAUGGCUUUCAGACACUCUGUGUCUUGGUCACUGUCUAUGGCUGGGAAGAGAGCCCACAACCCCAUGGUCUUAUAAAACUCAUAUAAAGAAAGCCUUUAAUUGGUGCUGGCUCACAGUUUCAGAGAUGGCAACAUGACAGGGAGCAUGGGGCUGCAUGCAGGCAGACAUGAUAGUGAAGAGGUAGCUGAGGGUUCUAUAUCUGGAUCCACAGACAGCAGGAAGAGACAGACUCUGGGACUGGCUAUGGCUUUUGAAAUCCUAAAAUCCACCCCCAGUGACAGGAUUCCUUCAACAAGACCACACCUACCCCAACAAGGCCACACCUCCUAAUCCUUUCAAACAGUGUCCCUUUUCUAGGCAAUCAAACAUAUGAGCCUAUGCGAGCCAUUCUCAUUCAAAUCCCCACACUCUGGAGAACCACGGGCUUAUCCUAGGAGAAUGAGAAGGUUGUUGAUGCUGACUCCCACCUACUCAACUACAUAAAAUAAGACCAGAACAACCAGAGACUAUCAGAAACUCAGUCAUGAGGGGCCAUGGAUUUGGCAUCUUCCCGGAGGGGCGGAAGUGUCCUUGUCCACUUCCAAAUGUAGUGGCCGCUGAGCACUUCAUCAUCAUGGUCUUCAUCAUCAUGUCGUGUGUUCCUUUCUGGCCUUUGUUCACCUACGACCAACCCUAGGAAGUGAAGACUCAUUGUGAAUUCAUUUCUGACUUUGCCAGGGCUGAGGGAGGGAAGCUUCCCUGACAGGCAAGAGAGAAACGUUAGGUCAAACCAAGAAAAGCAGCAGGGUCAGGCGUAGCACAGCGGAUCCAAGGAAUGUGAGGCAGUGGUCAAAAACACUCUCGUACCUGUGCCCAACAUGACCACUGAGCAGAUAUUUAUAAAUCUUCUCUUUUGUAUCAGACCCUGUUGUGAUCACUUAGGAAACAGACAAUAUUUCCUAGGCUUGUGCUGUUCUUGUUCUAGAAAGAGAAACAGCAAAGCACAGCAAGGGAUGACAAUGCAGUUUAGUUGGAGAAUGUUUGCCUAACAUGCUCAAAGCCCUGGGUUAAGGGGAUCUCAAGUUCAAGGUCAUUCUUGGUUAUAUCAAGACUUUGAGGCUAGCCUGGGCUAUAAGAAAACCACAUGUGGAGAACAGGUCCUGUUCUUCUCCAGCUGUAGCAUGGCUCCAGUCAGUUGAUGGUGUCUGUUUGGGGGAUGGAGGUGAGUUGGGGGCAAUGAAGGGAUGGGGUGCAGGUAGAGAAAGACUCACCUUCCCAUGGGGGCUUGCCACUGGAAAUGUGAUUAUGCUCCAGUGGGCAUAUAGACGACACAAAAUGGGCUUUUUUUUUUUCUCUUUUUUUUGGGGGGGGGUUGUCUAUGGGAGAGGAGGCAGACAUGGGAGGACUGGGAGGUCAGUGUAAUUGGGGUGCAUGAUGUGAGAUUCCCUAAUAAUAAUAAAAAAGAAAUAAACACUAAAAA